rnacentral:rRNA from 1 species
UACAGAGGUCCCAAGCGUUGUUCGGAUUCACUGGGCGUAAAGGGUGCGUAGGCGGUCGGGUAAGUCUGAUGUGAAAUCUCACAGCUUAACUGUGAAACUGCAUUGGAUACUAUUCGGCUUGAGAGUUGGAGGGGGACGUGGAAUUCUUGGUGUGAGCAGUGGAAAUGCGUAGAUAUCAAGAGGAACACCAGUGGCGAAGGCGAGUCCCUGGACAACUUCUGACGCUGAGGCACGAAAGCUAGGGGAGCAAACAGG